UACGUAGGGGGCAAGCGUUGUCCGGAUUUAUUGGGCGUAAAGAGCGUGUAGGCGGCCGUACAGGUCAGCUGUGAAAACUCGAGGCUCAACCUCGAGACGUCGGUUGAAACCGUACGGCUAGAGUCCGGAAGAGGAGAGUGGAAUUCCCGGUGUAGCGGUGAAAUGCGCAGAUAUCGGGAAGAACACCCGUGGCGAAGGCGGCUCUCUGGGACGGUACUGGCGCUGAGACGCGAAAGCGUGGGGGCGAACAGG
rnacentral:rRNA from 1 species